GACGAACGCUGGCGGCGUGCCUAAUACAUGCAAGUCGAGCGGGAAACUUCGGUUUCCAGCGGCGAACGGGUGAGUAACACGUGGGCAACCUGCCCUCAAGCUUGGGAUAACUCCGGGAAACCGGGGCUAACACCAAAUAAUCUUUUCUCUCGCAUGAGAGAAAAGUAAAGUUUACACUUGAGGAUGGGCCCGCGGUGCAUUAGCUUGUUGGUGAGGUAACGGCUCACCAAGGCAACGAUGCAUAGCCGACCUGAGAGGGUGACCGGCCACACUGGGACUGAGACACGGCCCAGACUCCUACGGGUGGCAG
rnacentral:rRNA from 1 species